rnacentral:rRNA from 1 species
AGUAGCACGCUCAAGACCCGAAGCGGAGUGAUCUAGCCAUGGGCAGGUUGAAGCGGAGGUAAGACUUCGUGGAGGACCGAACCCACCAGGGUUGAAAACCUGGGGGAUGACCUGUGGUUAGGGGUGAAAGGCCAAUCAAACUCCGUGAUAGCUGGUUCUCCCCGAAAUGCAUUUAGGUGCAGCGUCGUGUGUUUCUUGCCGGAGGUAGAGCACUGGAUAGGCGAUGGGCCCUACCGGGUUACUGACCUUAGCCAAACUCCGAAUGCCGGUAAGUGAGAGCGCGGCAGUGAGACUGUGGGGGAUAAGCUCCAUGGUCGAGAGGGAAACAGCCCAGAGCAUCGACUAAGGCCCCUAAGCGUACGCUAAGUGGGAAAGGAUGUGGAGUCGCACAGACAACCAGGAGGUUGGCUUAGAAGCAGCCACCCUUGAAAGAGUGCGUAAUAGCUCACUGGUCUAGUGAUUCCGCGCCGACAAUGUAGCGGGGCUCAAGCGUACCGCCGAAGUCGUGUCAUU